rnacentral:SRP_RNA from 1 species
CCGUGCUAGGCGGGGAGCCAGCGGUGCCCUGUACCUGCAAUCCGCUCCAGCAGGGCCGAAUUCCCUCCCGAGGUCCGCGUUCUCGAGAGCUCGGGCGGCAGGACGACGUUGAGGAUCGGGUCCCGCGCAGCGGAGACGCGUGAACCUCGUCAGGUCCGGAAGGAAGCAGCGAUAAACGCUGCUCUCCGGGUGCCGCGGACAGGCCUGGUCCGAGCCGGCCGUCGCCAGGAGCGCGGGACGUCCCCGAUCGACGGAGGGUGCACGG